GGUAAUUUGAGCGGUGACGGGUCGGUCCUCGCGCGCCUCCCUGGGUCCCUGCACCUAGUUGGAGGGGACUGAACGACAACGGGGCGCUACUCAGGCAACCUGGGGGACUCCCCCAAGGGCUGUCAGGCUUCAGCUGGGAGCCGAUGCAACACCCCAGCGGGGAGGGGAGGUCGGCCCAUUCUAAUCCCGACGUGUCCUUGGUCCCAGGCGCUCGGAGCAGCAUCUGAGAGGGCUCACUCUGAUCAUCAGCUGCACGUUAAGCCACAAACCGGCGUCGCUUCGGCGUUCCGGAACCCAGGCCUGGGGGCCGCGGGGAUUGCCUCUGCGUGCAACUCCGGAAAGUUUCAAGGGGUCCCCCGACUGCACAGGUCCGGAAAUCGGCUUUGAUAUGGAACUACUCCGCUCUAGCCUGGAAAGGAGACCCGCGCACUCCUCUCGCAGCUAAUUUCGGAUCAUUAAUUUAAUCGGAAAUGAGGUAACCAGUGUAGGAGACAGAGAAAGCAACCGGAGCAUCAAAUGGCAGUUCUCGAGAAUCGACGAGGAACUUAAAUCUGGACUCAGGGUUUCAGUGCGGUCUCCGACUCCCACCACCCCGCCCCUCCGCCUGUCUCGCCGCCAGGUGUGACCUCCACGCGAAGGAAUCUUCUUCGGAUGGGUGCACCUUGCCAACAGGUGUGGCACCUGGAGGACUAGGAGGCGCCUCCAGACUAAGGGCGCUCAGUGCGGCGUUCUUGUUGCAGAUGAUUCUGGAAGGCCGGUAGGUGUCGGGCGACAUUUGACCUUCUUCAGGUGCUUAGAACUAAGUGUCUGGAAACAUGAUCCUUUCGCGUAAGUUUCUUUCUGAAAGCCACCAAUCUUGACUGUAAGCUGUAUUUGAGAGAUCUUUUGGCUGAGUUUACUUAUGACCUAACGGUUAGUCACCAACUGAGGCAGGGCACAGGAUGACCAAAAAAAAAGUGUCAGUUUUUACACAACUCUGGCCUGCAAGAGCCUACGUGCUUCAUAAAUAAAAAUAAACAUACGAGCGAGGAA
rnacentral:lncRNA from 1 species